rnacentral:rRNA from 1 species
GACGAACGCUGGCGGCGUGCUUAACACAUGCAAGUCGAACGGAAAGGCCUGCUUUCCCUUGUGGAUUGCGGGUACUCGAGUGGCGAACGGGUGAGUAACACGUGAUUGAUCUGCCCCCAACUUGGGUAUAAGCCUGGGAAACUGGGUCUAAUUCCCGAUAGGACUGCAGGGUGGUGCCUGUGGUGGAAAACGAUUUUCUAGUGUUUGGGGAUGAGCUCGCGGCCUAUCAGCUUGUUGGUGGGGUAAUGGCCUACCAAGGCGGCGACGGGUAGCCGGCCUGAGAGGGUGGACGGCCACAGUGGGACUGGGAUACGGCCCAGACUCCUACGGGAGGCAGCAGUGGGGAAUAUUGCACAAUGGGCGGAAGCCUGAUGCAGCGAAGCCGCGUGGGGGAUGACGGCCUUCGGGUUGUAAACUCCUUUCGACCGCGAGGAAGCCACCUGGUUGGAAGGGUGGUGACGGUAGUGGUAGAAGAAGCACCGGCUGACUACGUG